rnacentral:rRNA from 1 species
AAGUGGAGCAAUCCAUGAGUAAAGUGGCGACCGGGUGAGUAACACGUGACUAACCUACCUUCGAGUGGGGGAUAACAUCGGGAAACCGAUGCUAAUACCGCAUAAUAUCGCAAGAUCAAAGCAGCAAUGCGCUGGAAGAGGGGGUCGCGGCUGAUUAGCUAGUUGGCGGGGUAACGGCCCACCAAGGCGAAGAUCGGUAGCCGGCCUGAGAGGGCGCACGGCCACACUGGAACUGAAACACGGUCCAGACUCCUACGGGAGGCAGCAGUGGGGAAUUUUGCGCAAUGGGGGAAACCCUGACGCAGCAACGCCGCGUGGAGGAUGAAGCCCCUUGGG